AUUGAACGCUGGCGGAAUGCUUUACACAUGCAAGUCGAGCGGCAGCGCGGGGGCAACCCUGGCGGCGAGCGGCGAACGGGUGAGUAACAUAUCGGAACGUACCCCGUCGUGGGGGAUAACACAGCGAAAGCUGUGCUAAUACCGCAUACGACCUGAGGGUGAAAGCGGGGGAUCGCAAGACCUCGCGCGAUGGGAGCGGCCGAUAUCGGAUUAGCUUGUUGGUGAGGUAAAGGCUCACCAAGGCGACGAUCCGUAGCUGGUCUGAGAGGACGACCAGCCACACUGGAACUGAGACACGGUCCAGACUCCUACGGGAGGCAGCAGUGGGGAAUUUUGGGACAAUGGGGGCAACCCUGAUCCAACCAUUCCGCGUGAGUGAAGAAGGCCUUCGGGUUGUAAGGUACUCUUCUAGCAGGAACGAAACGGUA
rnacentral:rRNA from 1 species